UUCAACUUCUACCUCUAUGUAUCCCACUUUUCGAUGUUGUCGCUGCCACCACCUUUGAAAGAUGCUUUGCUCAAAUAAUAAGAACAAUUGAAGAAACAGUAACUUGUUUAUUUAUAGCACAAAGCUUGAUGGUCGCAAGAAUGUUAUAUCUUGAGUUGAACGAUGUUACUUCUGCACAUGGGCCGGAUGCCAUUGAGAUGAAUGCAACUGUGUUACUUUCCCAGAAACUCUUCCCUUUGGCAGCUUCUCCAGUCUUUGAAAAUGCUACAUAGGUAAUGAAGGACACCCUGCUGAAUAGAGUGAAGUGAGGUGUUGAGAUCUCCAAAAUUACAUAGAAACACCAGGUGAUUAGGGGAAUCCUAGGACUUUCAGUCUAGAAAUUAUUUUUCCAUGAAUGCUACCUUCCAUGACAGGCAAGUCCUGAAUUAAAAUGUACAGGAUGCACCACACAGCUGUAUACAAUUUGCCAGACAUUCAUUUUUUCAUAGUGCAGUAGAAAUGUUUUUCUAUAUGCACUAUAGACAUUGUGUGAAAUCUAUUCUGCCUGUGUACUGUUGUAGAGGAUCUAACUGCUUUUACAAUAGCAACAGUACUUGAGAUGUACAUGCCAAGGUUUUUCUAAGUAAAGAUAAAGGUUUUCUCCUGACAUUAAGUCUAGUUGUGUCCAAAUCUGAGGGCUGGUGCUCAUCUCCAUUUCUAAGCUGAAUAGCCAGGGUUGUUCGUAGACAUCUCCAAGGUCAUGUGGCUGGCAUGACUGCUGGAGCAGUACCUAUUGAUCUACUCAGAUUUUCAUGUUUUUGAACUGCUAGGUUGGCAGAAGCUGGGGCUAACAGUGGGAGCUCACCCCACUCCUCGCAUUUGAAGCGUAAAUCUUUCAGUCAGCAAGUUCAGCAGCUCAGUGGUUUAACCCACUGCACCGCCAGAGGCUCAAAACUGUUUAUAGGCUGUGGCUCUUUAACAGUGAUUCAUCCUUCUCCAAUCUUAAUUUGUGAUUUUAAAAAAGACAACAACAUACAUUAUUUUUUAUUGAUCCCACAGACAGAAAUAUUUAUUGUGUGCAAAUAGUGUCCUAAAAGAUACAUUUUUGUAUGCACUUAACCCUAAAAUAUGCUCUUCUGUGCAUAUUUGGGUUCUGUGUUUAAAGUUUAGAACUGUAUUACAAAAUUUGGAGAAAGGCAAAAGAAAGACAGAAAUAUAACUGUGCUCUGAUCUGUGUCUUUGUCUUGGAAGUGUGCUAUGGUUAAUAACAGCCAGCAUGGAUUGGUCAAAUUAAUCUUAUAUCUUGUUUAGCAGAUGGUGGGAAUGCUGUAGAUGUUGUUUAUCUGGAUUUCAGCAAAGCAUUUGUUGAAGUCCCCUAUGAUAUUUUGAUUAGCAAACUGAAUGUGAA
rnacentral:lncRNA from 11 species